rnacentral:rRNA from 1 species
AUUGAACGCUGGCGGCAGGCCUAACACAUGCAAGUCGAGCGAGCGGCGGACGGGUGAGUAAUGUCUGGGAAACUGCCUUAUGGAGGGGGAUAACUACUGGAAACCGUAGCUAAUACCGCAUACCAUCAGAUUUUCCCAGAUGGGAUUAGCUAGUUGGUGGGGUAAUGGCUGACCUAGGCUACGAUCCCUAGCUGGUCUGAGAGGAUGACCAGCCACACUGGAACUGAGAAACGGUCCAGACUCCUACGGGAGGCAGCAGUGGGGAAUAUUGCACAAUGGGCGCAAGCCUGAUGCAGCCAUGCCGCGUGAGUGAAGAAGGCCUUCGGGUUGUAAAACACUGUCAGCGGGGAGGCGUUACCCAAAGAGGAAGCAACGGCUAACUACGUGCCAGCCGCCGCGGUAAUUC